UUUGAAUCCUUGCUUGAACCUGUAAUAGUUUGUCGGCUCACUACUCUCGAAGGGACGUUCACCCAAUAUCUGGACCAGAUCUUCUUGAUAAAGGACCUCCUUUUCUAGUAGCAAUUCUGCAAUCUGAGCUACAUGUUCUCUGUGUUCCUCUAUAAGUUGUAAAGUACGAUCAUAUGCCUUGGCUACCCAUUUUCUAACUUCAUUGUCAAUAAGUGCUGCAGUCUUGCUACUGUAGGGCUUUGAUGUCUCAAGUGCAUCUUCUCUUUGCGGAAAAGAAAGAAGACCAACUUUCUCACUGAAGCCGUAGACUGCUACCUGGGCAUAUGUCAUCUUGGUCACUUUCUCCAAAUCAUCUUGAGCUCCAGUUGAGAUUUUUCCAAUCAAAAUCUGCUCAGCAGCUCGGCCACCAAGAGUCAUACAUGUCAUAUCAAAUAGCUGCUCCUUGGUCAUUAAAUGAUUUUCACUGCUAACAUAUUGAGCAAA
rnacentral:misc_RNA from 1 species